UGCAUAGGAAUCUACCUAGUAGUAUGGAAUAGCUGUUAGAAAUGACAGGUAAUACCGUAUAAUCCCUGCGGGGGAAAGAUUUAUCGCUAUUAGAUGAGCCUAUGUUAGAUUAGCUAGUUGGUAAGGUAAUGGCUUACCAAGGCUAUGAUCUAUAGCUGGUCUGAGAGGACGAUCAGCCACACUGGAACUGAGAUACGGUCCAGACUCCUACGGGAGGCAGCAGUGGGGAAUAUUGGACAAUGGGCGCAAGCCUGAUCCAGCUAUGCCGCAUGAGUGAAGAAGGCCUUAGGGUUGUAAAGCUCUUUCAGCAGGGAAGAUAAUGACGGUACCUGCAGAAGAAGUCCCGGCAAACUCCGUGCCAGCAGCCGCGGUAAUACGGAGGGGGCAAGCGUUGUUCGGAAUUAUUGGGCGUAAAGGGCAUGUAGGCGGUUUAAUAAGUUAAAAGUGAAAUACCAGGGCUUAACCUUGGAGCUGCUUUUAAUACUGUUAAACUAGAGAUCGAGAGAGGAUAGUGGUAAUUCCUAGUGUAGAGG
rnacentral:rRNA from 1 species